CAGUAGCCACGGUAAUACGUAGGGUCCGAGCGUUGUCCGGAAUUAUUGGGCGUAAAGGGCUCGUAGGCGGUUUGUCGCGUCGGGAGUGAAAACCAGCAGCUUAACUGCUGGCCUGCUUUCGAUACGGGCAGACUUGAGGCAUUCAGGGGAGAACGGAAUUCCUGGUGUAGCGGUGAAAUGCGCAGAUAUCAGGAGGAACACCGGUGGCGAAGGCGGUUCUCUGGGAAUGUUCUGACGCUGAGGAGCGAAAGUGUGGGGAGCGAACAGGAUUAGAUACCCGAGUAGUCCCUGUCUCUUAUAC
rnacentral:rRNA from 1 species